CUCUCUCCUCCCUCUUUCUUCCCCGUCGCCCCCUUCCUUCCCCUCUCUUCUUGCUCGACGGAACCGAGCAAACCAGCGAAGCUGGAGGAGUCGCCGCCCCUCGCCGCCGUUCGCCGCUGCGUGCCGUCGGAGCAGCCGCGCCCUGGCCGCUCGCCCUCCGUCUCCCCCUUUCCUCUCCCAUCGCGGUCUCUCUCCUCCACCUCUGGUUCUUGCUCGAAGACCCAGCGGAUCUGAGGACGCCGGAGCAGCCAGCUAGCUGCUGGACCGCCGCCUCACGCCUCCGCCCUCCACCGUUCGCUGCCGAGCUGCACGCCGUUGCCUCGGCGCUGCCCCGCUCGUCUCGGCCUCCCUCUCGCCCAGCUCUCAGUUUCAGCGAGCUGUCCAGCUCGUCCCAGCUGCUGUGGACCACCGCCGGAGCUCCUACCGCCACCGCCUAGGUCUGGUUCGGCCUCCUCCGUCCAUCUAAGCCCUUGCAUGUCUCAACCGAGCUUGGAUCAGCCUCUUUCUCGGCCUCAACCAGCAGCGAACGGGGAGGAGAAAAAUGGGUAUGGCAGCGGCUUCGUGGCCCGUUUUGGCCGGCUUCCCGACCCCGGAAGCUAGGCCCGCUUUGGAGUGAAUCGAUCCCCUCGGCGUCCCCGUCGAUUUGAGCCGCUCGGAUCGCUAAUCGGGUGAGUUUAACUCACUAAUCCCCGCUUAGUAGAUUAAUCACGUUUAAGGGGUGUUUAGAUUAAACUAAGUAGGUUUAGGUGGUUAGAUUAGUUUAUUUAAAUGUUAAGUGGAUUAAGGGAUGUGAUUAGUUUAGUGGACAAUUAAUUAAAGUUAAGAAAAUGUUUGGAUUAAAGUAAUCUUGUUUAAGCCUUAAUUAAUUAUUUUAAAUUAAAUAAUUAAUUCGAAAUUGUACUAUAAUAAUAAUAUAAUAUAAUAUUAUUAUAUUUACUUUUCGGAAUAAAUUUAAUUAUUUAUUAUUUUCCGGAAAUUUUGAUCGGGAUUGUCGGUGACCGGAAUUUUAUGCUGAUGAUCGUGGUGAAGUCCGUUUGUUUAAUUGAGCUCCGAUUUGAGCUAAAUUGAAUUUAUUGUAAUUAAUUAUUAAAUUUCGAAAUUAAUUAAUAAUUAAUUAAAAUUCGGAAAUUAAGAUUUAGAAGGCCGACGACCGAAAUUCCGUGCUGAUUAUCUUAGUGCAGUCCGUUUAUUUAUUUGAGCGUUAAUUUGUGCUGAAUCGAAUUAAUUGUGAAUUUAGGAUUUAUUCUUAAAUUAUCUGAUUUUGGUUUAGUGAUGGAGAAAUAACCGGGCGUCGGUUUACAGCGCCAAAAAGAUGUAAUGGGCUAAUGAAAUCGGUGGGAUAUCUUUAAGUAAAAUUAUUAUAUUUUGGCUAAGGCCAACCGUGUACCCACACACGGCUAUUUAUCGUGAAUGAUAAAAAUGAUGAAUUGACUAUAUGGUUGGAGUGGUAUAUUAUAUCGGCCUUCGGGCGAUAUGUCAGCUUUGGGUGAGCAGUAUACCGGUAUACUAUAUUGACCUACGGGUGAUAUGUCAACUUUGGGUGAGCAGUAUACCUUAUUAUCAGCUUUGGGCGAGCAUAUAUAGUAUACUAAAUUGGCCUGGGGGCCCUAAUUUAUCAGCUUUGGGCGAGCAUAUACAUAGUAUACUAUAUCUAUCAGCUUUGGGCGAGCUAUGCUAUCUAUUAUCAGCUUUGGGUGAGCAGUUAUAGACUAUGGUCGGACUUUAUAGAUAGUAUUGAAUGUACCGGCCAGGGAAAGGUCGUGGUGACAUGUAAUCGAUUAAGUCGAUUGAUCGCUGAGUCGAUCUGAUUGGUGGAAUGUAAUUGUUUGCUGUAGUUAUCGAUAUUAUUAGUUGAACUAAAGUGCAGGAAAGGAACUGAUGCCAAGGUAAGCCCUUUGACCUGUGUUGUGCUUAGGCAGCCCUUAUGGCGUAUUGGCUUCCUAAUUGGGUCUUAGUGGGGUAGAACUCGCUGAGACAUAGUCUCAUCCCAGUUUGGGGAAAAAUAUUUCAGGUUCCUAGAUGACGAUCGUGGAGGACCGGAAGUCCUGAAGUUCGGAAGGUGGAGGCUGAAGAAUCGGCAAAUGGGUCUGACUAGUGGAUGUUAAGACAGUCCCCUUUUUGAUAAGCCGUUAAUUUUGUAAACAGCCUAAGUUUGUAAUUAACCAGUUUGCUUAUAAAGACUCGUCUUGGGUUGAAAAAUAUGAUCCUACUCUUCUAUCCCAUUGUUUGAUUGUCUGGGGAUUUUAUUAAGCUUCCGCAUGCGUAUAUAAAUGAAUGGGUCGGCGACCUUCCUGGGACGUCGCAAAUAAAUCGACCGAGUAAGGGAUGGGCGCGCGCCCGAGGAUCGGGGCGUGACAGACAGAGUACUAGAACUUUUUUACCACAAAGUGUCUAAAGAAAUUCUAGCCAUCCACCUUAACCCCCAAUUUUCAGAGGAC
rnacentral:lncRNA from 1 species